UGCAGUCGACGAGAGAGAGGGAGCUUGCUUCCUCGAUCGAGUGGCGAACGGGUGAGUAACGCGUGAGGAACCUGCCUCAAAGAGGGGGACAACAGUUGGAAACGACUGCUAAUACCGCAUAAGCCCACGGCUCGGCAUCGAGCAGAGGGAAAAGGAGCAAUCCGCUUUGAGAUGGCCUCGCGUCCGAUUAGCUAGUUGGUGAGGUAAUGGCCCACCAAGGCGACGAUCGGUAGCCGGACUGAGAGGUUGAACGGCCACAUUGGGACUGAGACACGGCCCAGACUCCUACGGGAGGCAGCAGUGGGGAAUAUUGCACAAUGGGGGAAACCCUGAUGCAGCGACGCCGCGUGGAGGAAGAAGGUCUUCGGAUUGUAAACUCCUGUUGUUGAGGAAGAUAAUGACGGUACUCAACAAGGAAGUGACGGCUAACUACGUGCCAGCAGCCGCGGUAAAACGUAGGUCACAAGCGUUGUCCGGAAUUACUGGGUGUAAAGGGAGCGCAGGCGGGCGAUCAAGUUGGAAGUGAAAUCCAUGGGCUCAACCCAUGAACUGCUUCCAAAACUGAUUGUCUUGAGUAGUGCAGAGGUAGGCGGAAUUCCCGGUGUAGCGGUGGAAUGCGUAGAUAUCGGGAGGAACACCAGUGGCGAAGGCGGCCUACUGGGCACCAACUGACGCUGAGGCUCGAAAGUGUGGGUAGCAAACAGGAUUAGAUACCCUGGUAGUCCACACCGUAAACGAUGAUUAC
rnacentral:rRNA from 1 species